rnacentral:rRNA from 1 species
GUGAGGACUAUUGGUCAAUGGGCGGGAGCCUGAACCAGCCAAGCCGCGUGAGGGAAGAAGGCCCUAUGGGUCGUAAACCUCUUUUGUCAGGGAACAAAAGCGAGUAUGUAUACUGGUCUGAGUGUACCUGAAGAAACAGCAUCGGCUAACUCCGUGCCAGCAUCCGCGGUAAUACGGAGGAUGCGAGCGUUAUCCGGAUUUAUUGGGUUUAAAGGGUGCGUAGGAGGCGGUGCAAGUCAGCGGUAAAAGCCCGGGGCUCAACCCCGGCGAGCCGUUGAAACUGCAGUGCUAGAGAAGGCGAGAGGUACGCGGAAUGCGCAGUGUAGCGGUGAAAUGCUUAGAUAUUGCGCAGAACUCCGAUUGCGAAGGCAGCGUACUGGCGCCUGACUGACGCUGAGGCACGAAAGCGUGGGGAUCGAACAGG